UCCCUUUCAGGUUUGCACCUGGAGAGUUUCCAGUACUCUACCAGUCUCGACUACAGGAGGGACAGUCAAGCAGAGACCUGUCCAUUUCAAUCCUAGCUUGGGCAGUGGCUAGUGAGUGGAGGCAAUCUGUUACAAGU
rfam:Ornithorhynchus anatinus chromosome 5, whole genome shotgun sequence.